rnacentral:misc_RNA from 2 species
CAGAGUUGUAAAACUCCCAAACCCACUGUGAACAUACCUCUGUUGCCUCGGCGGCCUACCUGGCAGCUACCCUGUAGCUACCCUGUAGUCCGCCGAAGGAUUUUACAAAACUCUUGUUUUUCAGUUGUUAUCUCUGAGAAAAUAUAUAAAUAAGUCA